AGGGUUUGAUCCUGGCUCAGGAUGAACGCUAGCGGCAGGCCUAAUACAUGCAAGUCGAGGGGCAGCACUUACUUCGGUAAGUGGCGACCGGCGCACGGGUGAGUAACACGUAUGCAACCUACCUUUAACUGGGGCAUAGCUCGAGGAAACUCGAAUUAAUUCCCCAUAAUAUAAUACAUUAUCUCAUGAUAUAAUUAUUAAAGAUUUAUCGGUUAAAGAUGGGCAUGCGUCUGAUUAGUUUGUUGGUGAGGUAACGGCUCACCAAGACUUCGAUCAGUAGGGGGUCUGAGAGGAUGAUCCCCCACACUGGUACUGAGAUACGGACCAGACUUCUACGGAAGGCAGCAGUAAGGAAUAUUGGGCAAUGGGCGAAAGCCUGACCCAGCCAUGCCGCGUGCAGGAUGACGAUCUUACGGAUUGUAAACUGCUUUUAUAUAGGAAGAAAAUACUCUUGCGAGAGUAACUGACGGUACUAUAAGAAUAAGGACCGGCUAACUCCGUGCCAGCAGCCGCGGUAAUACGGAGGGUCCAAGCGUUGUCCGGAUUUAUUGGGUUUAAAGAGUGCGUAGGUGGUUUAUUAAGUCAGUGGUGAAAUCCUGCAGCUCAACUGUAGAACUGCCAUUGAAACUGAUAAACUUGAGUUUGGUUUAGGUAAGUGGAAUUUAUGAUGUAGCGGUGAAAUG
rnacentral:rRNA from 1 species